rnacentral:rRNA from 1 species
UUUCGCAAUGCCCGAAAGGGUGACGAAGCGACGCCGCGUGUGGGAAGAAGGCCUUCGGGUUGUAAACCGCUGUUGGGAGUUAGGAAGUGUGGGAGUGUCAAUAGCGCUUCCACUUGACUAAAGCUCCAGAGGAAGCCACGGCUAACUCUGUGCCAGCAGCCGCGGUAAUACAGAGGCGGCAAGCGUUGUUCGGAAUUAUUGGGCGUAAAGAGCACGUAGGCGGCUCUGCAAGUCAGCUGUGAAAGCCUUCUGCUUAACGGAAGAACAGCAGUUGAAACUACAGGGCUUGAGUGCGGGAGGGGAGAGUGGAACUUCUGGUGGAGCGGUGAAAUGCGUAGAUAUCAGAAGGAACGCCGGCGGCGAAAGCGGCUCUCUGGUCCGUAACUGACGCUGAGUGUGCGAAAGCUAGGGGAGCAAACGGGAUUAGAUACCCCGGUAGUCCUAGCCGUAAACGAUGGGCACUAAGUAGAGGGGUUUU